rnacentral:sRNA from 1 species
UUUUUAUCCACAGAACCAAUGUGCCGGGAAGUACAAGAAGUCCAAGCUUCCCCACACUGCCCCCUCCACCAUGCCUCACCCCUGACCUGAAAAGAUUCACUUCUAUUGAUGAAG